UCCCAGAUAUCACAGUUGUAAUAAAAAUGUCAUCUAUCACAUAAUAAUGAUUAUAAUUUAUCACAGGAUGUUAUACUUGUUUUGAUAAUAUAGUGACUGAAACAAAAUGUAAAUGAGGUCCAUCAUAGCUGUCACAUUUAGAUCUUAAAGGCACUCGCUACAGUUUUACCGGACGGGUCGAUAUUUACCCCAACACCGUGCCAGUUUGGUUGUGUUUUUAUUCGAUGUAGCUGGCACAAGACCACAGUUAUUUGCCCUUGGUUGACCACAGUACGGAAGUGGUUAUGGGGAAAAUAGUUCCUCUGUUUGAUGGUGAACAUUGGUGAAUUUUUGAGUGAAAGACCUGCAAUAAAUGGCAUAAUUUAAUAGAGGAGAUAUGAAAUAGUAGGUACAUGUACAAUUUGACAGAAUGAGAAUGUCAGAAUAUGCAUAACAUGACUUUUUGAUAGGGCCUGUUUUGCCUGUUUGCGGCCAUCUAGAGAGUAUUCUUCAUACGCAUGUGAUUUGGUUCAAAAUGGUGGAAAAAAGAGCCGGUCAAGCCAAUGUUUACUGUGGCUGGAAUUUUUUCUCUUGAAUAGUUCUGUUGAGUUCAGGUAUUUUUAUAGGGGUUGAAAUGCAUGCAAAAUUGCUAUAGUGUCCAGUGCCUAUAUAGAACAUAUAGAUCUAGUAAAAAUAACUGUGGUCUUAGGCCAGCUCACUGCAGACUCGGUGUGGUCUUCUGCGCAUGCCUGGAAGUGUCACGUACGGCAAAAAUUUGCAAAUUAUUGUAUGUUUGCAUGCAUUAAAUGUACAAAAUGUAUAAUAUACUGACUAAAGGUUAGGGUAUCACCAUGCUUACAAAAUAUAUACAUUUAAAGUACUUUUAGUUCAAAUUGCUUCAAUCUGACAUAUAUUUCAGUAGUCUGUUAUUUAUACCAGCGCUCAAACACUGCAUUGAGUCACAGCUGUUUCUAAUCCCGUACCAUACACGUACCGUACAUUCGUAAACUAUAGGUUUUGUAAAAAAAAAAAAAAGGGCGGAAACUUUCAUCAUUCUAUGCCAUCAAAAUGCUUCAGAAACACCUUAAAAUCCGCUUAUUAAGAAAUCUGCCGUUUGAUAAUUUUAUAUAUAUAUAUCUCUAAGUCAUUUGCUCAAACACUGAAAGAGUAUUUUGUACCAACCUGCGUUGUAUAAAUGCCUGCCACACCCCAUCUCGUUGUAAUUUGAUUUAAGCAAAAUCUAAUAUGGUGACCUAUCAAUUUCCUUUUUGUUUUAGAUUAGGUAGACAUAACAAAAGGUAUGUGCAGAGUUUGAUUAAAUUCUAUGUGAAACUCGAUAAAAUAGCAGAAGUACCAACUUAAAACUGACAAAAAUAUGCAAAAAUAGCCCUUAAGUCUGCUGAACAAGUAUUCCUUUCUUUGCAAAAUCAUGUUCUUUUGAUUUCUCUGAGCAUGUUUCAAAUAGAUAUAUUGUUUUCCGUUAUAAAAAUGCUUAGAUAAUCAAAUUUAUGCUGAUUAUUGUACUUUACUGAAAGAUAUUUUAGGAUUACAGGAAUUUUGAAAAAUGUUUAAAAUAGUACCAUAUCUAGGGGCAAAUUAAAUUGAAACAAAGCUGGUGACCUAGUAUUUUUAUUUCAUUUUUCAAUACAUCAUAACAUGAUCUUUUAAUUCAGAACAUUUCAUCAAAAUCUAUUAUUGAGAAAAAAAUUACGAAAAUGUAGCGUAAGUGACUGAUUACUCUUAACAAAACUGUGUUAUUUGGUGGUAUAAAAGUGACAAUGAAAUCACAAGACAAAGAUCUUACGUUGUUAUAUCACAUAUUAUAGAGUGGUUAAUACAUUCUGUUUUAAAACAGUAUUCCGUUUUUGAAUACAAAGGUGUUAGCACGUCAUGAUCUCAUGAUUGAUGCUACAAUUUAGGUGUUUGUGUCAUUAGCAUGCAGUUAAACCCGUCUAUAAAGACCACCCUUGGGAGUGCAGAAAUUUGGUCUUUAUUGGGAGGUGGUCUUUAUUCACAGGUUAAAAUACAAUUUGGGAAACAAAACAUGUUGUCUUUAGAGAUGGUCUUUAACACAGGUUUGACAGUAUUAUAUAGGUCUUACAAAAUCAAUGACACCGUGAUACAAACAUAUGCAGAAACUAAGGGUCUAAUAACUUUCUACAAAUUGACAUGGUAACACAAAUACUAAACACUUAUUUCAUAAAAAAUACCAUAAAAAUUUGUCAAAACGACACUAGUUAAAAAUAUAUAUAUAAAGAUUCAUCUCUUUACAUCAGCUGGAAACUUAUUCCAUUCCUUAAUUGCAAUGAAUUGAUGUAAACCCAUUGACUUGUGGCAUAUAAAAAUUUAGAUGAGAUCUGCUCCUGUAAAACUGGAUAUCACUGCAUUGUGUAAAGUGUUCAUGCAUGUAACUGGCAGACUUGUUAUGGGAAAUCUUAUAGACAUGAUUGAGUCUUAGUUGUGUACACCUGUAUUCUAUAUUAAAAAAACCAAGGUCUUUAAAAUCUGCGACGCAAAGAGAUGUUCUACAAUGGUAAUUGUGAAUAAAACGAAUUACUUUGUUUUGAGCCACCUGUAGUUUACACUUCAGCAUUUUAGUAAGACCACAGUACCACAAGGUUGAUGCAUAAUCUAGAUGGCAUUGUAUCAAAGAAUUACAAAGAGUUUUUCUGAGAGAUUUCUUUUAAGGAAGUAGAUAUCAAAUUGAUGUUUUGUCUUACAGAUAGCCAUACAGAUUUGAACCAACAACCUGAUAGAAAGUUUUACCUGUUGUGUAAACAAGAUGAGCUAGCUGUGUGAAAGGUUGUCUUGCAGGAAAAGAAGGAAAAUGACUUUAGAAAAGAUGAGAUACAACAGAAUUAAAUAUAACAGAGAGUUUAAGGAACCUGUACAGCUUGUUUGUGAGAAGAUCAGGGUGAUUUUAGAUACCUUCUGAGUCAGAGUGUGCAUAUUGUUCAGCCAAGGUCUGAGUCCUAGACAAGGGUCUGAGUGGUGUGGUAUUUGCUUCAGAAUCAUCCACAUCACAGAAUCUCUCACCCAGGUGUUCCUGUUACACAAGCAUGAAGAAAAGGAGUUGCUGGAGGCCCAUUGAAACCAGAGAUUACAUCUAUUGGUGAUAAUUUGACGAAGCCAGUUGCAGAGUUUUUACAUGAGACAGUUAGGGAGAAAUUUUCAGAUUUGCAGUAUCAGACAGUAUCCUAGGAAACCCACAGACAUUCUUGAUAUAGGACCAACGCAAUCAGACAAGCUGGCAAGAUUUUACAUUCAAGAGUGGUGACAUUCUGCUGAAGAUUCAAGUCUGGAGAUACCAUUGAAUCUGUUUUUAGAUUUAAGUUUAAAAAUGACAUUGACUUACUACAUGUAUACUGCUUUAAGUCAAAUCUUUUAUCAAUUUUUGUUUUUAUCGAUAUAUUAAGAUCUGGGAAAAUAACUUUAUUGGAGAAAAAUUUGUAUGACAAAAUAAAAGAAAGAAAAAGGUUUUUAUAGUAGAAAUAUUUUUUUUAAUAGAUACUUAUGAAGUGACUUUAGCAUGUCUUUUAGAUACACAAGAUUACAAUGAUUGCUUUUUUUAAAUUUUUCAGGAAGUGCAAAAAAAACAAAAACUUCCUUAUUUGACAAGAAACAGCUUUUUUCAACCUUAAUAUAUGUUACAGCAAUUUAAAGGACUUUUAUAAAAUAUCAUUAUUUAUGUUAAGAGUUACAUGUAUCCUACCAUAUUACUUACUUACUUUCAACUGUAUUGCAUGACUUUUGUAAGUUUUAGCAGUUGGGUCAUUAUCACAAAAAUAUAGUAAGUAACUUCUAAAAUUUGACAAGCUGAUCUAUUCCAUCUGUAUUCUUGAAGUUUACUGCUUAAGAGUGAUAAUUAAAACUGUAAAUGAUGCCGGUCCAUAAUGCUGUUGGCCAGUCUAUAGUUCUGGUCCCAAUUUCACAAAAAAAACUUAAAUAAUUGUUUAGCUAAGUCUGUUAUUUCAAAUGCAUCUUCAGUGUAGAACUGUAUAUGUAUAUCUAAUAGAUCAAAACACAACAAUACUGAUUUCUACAGAAAAAGAAGUACAGAAAUAAGAAAUAUACUUAAGUUUGUUAUAUCAUGCUUAGAUAGAAAUAUCAUAUCACAACACUGAGAUAAGUACUGCAAACAAAUAAUACUAACCAUGUAUAAUUUAGCUACAAAUAUAUUGUUAUAGAAAAAUCAACAUGAAAUAACAAAAACUUAAGCAAUAGCACGAUUUUAAAAUAACAGACUUAACUAAGUACAUUUAAUUACUUAAGUUUUUUCAUGAAAUUAGGGCCAGCACUAAAGUUUGUUUGGCUAUAGUCAAAAUUUGAAAGAAAAACUAGGAAAUAUUUCUGAUGUCAUACAGUACUGUUUAAUAAAACAUUUAUUGAAUCUCAGGGUGGUCAUAAGUCAAAAUUAUUACGUGACUCCUAUGAGCCACCGGUCCAUAGUUUGUAUAACAUGUCCGGUACACAAUCACACAUGUUUUUUUACUUGGGAAUAAGUCAAACAUUUAAAAAUAAAAUGUGAACAUUUUAAUUUCUUAUGUCAUGUAAUAAAAUACUUAUUAAAUUGCUUGCUAGUUAAUAGUCAAAACUAUUAGCCCUAAGUCCUUUGGACCACUGGCAGUAGUUUCGACUAUUGACUAGCAAGUUAUUCAAUAAGUAUGUGCUAUUGACUAUUGGUCCUCUGGCAAAACUGUACAACUAUCAACCUUUAAUGGUCAAUGAUUAAAAUUAUACAGCCAAAUAAAUGACUAUAGACUGUCAUUAGAAAACUAUUGACUGAGAAAGGCAAGGGUAAUAGGAUACUGAUGAUGGUCAAUAGUCAUUUUCCAGGGUUGAAUGAUUUAAACCCAAUGACCACGUUAAAGAUAGUUGUUUUAUUAUAUUGAGCAGCAGUAAAAAGUAUUACAAGGAAAGAACACUUCAUGUUGUUCAGUGCCACAUUUAUUGAUAUGUUGCAGGUGCAUCAUUUCCAUUGUUGUUUUGGUUUCCAGGCAGAAUUUCGGUAAAAUUAUAGGUAGAAUUAAUUUAUUUUAAAUAGGUCUUAGGUGGUAGUUGCUUAGUUUGCCUGAGCACAAAAAGUUCCUGAUGAGCUAUUGUGAUCACCCUGUGUUUGUAGUCUAUCAUUGUUGCCAGUCAUUAUCAAUUUGACUAGAGGUCACAACUUUUGUCACAACUGAUAAGAAUACUACCAUUAAUAAAAUCUGGACAAGCGUCUUUUUUGGAUAGGUUAUCAAAAACUAAGUAAGUUAAAUCAUAGAAAAACCUCACUGACACUUUAGGGGCUACAUUUUUUGCUUGAUCAUUGUAAAUCUCUGUCAGAAUGUUUGUCUUUAUAACAAAAUUAAGGCUGAAUAUUAGAUCGAAAACUAGGUCAGUUUGGAAUUGAGAAAAUAUCAAUUUUAUUUCACUGAUAUAUUCCAGUAUUUCUCCGAAAAGCAUAAAAUAAUCCUGAAAUUUUUGUUUUAUAGUCCAUCAGCAAAACAAGUCCAAAUAGAUUAGGCAAUGAAAAUGCCUGGCAGACUGUAUAAAACAAGCACUGGCCAUUGAGGAGCUAAUCAUUUUCUUCCCAAAGUGACUUUUUUCUUCUUAUUUCAACUUGUCUUAAACUGCUACCAACCUUAAGCCUGAUGGAUUUGUUCCUUCAGCUGAGCCCACGAAUGAACAUUUGUUGGGUACAGAGAACAAUAGGUAACAGUAAAUUCUAUCAAAAGAAAUACCCAGUAAAGGUCCAUCUGUGGGAACGUCCGGCUGCUAAAAAGGUAUGACUGUAUAAAGGUACUUUCUAGACGUACAACCAGUCAGGAAGUUGUAUAUUCCUAUCAACACUAAUACAGUAAUUAUCAGCAAAAUUUCUUUCUAGAAAUGAUAUACAGUAUCAGUAACACAUUUAUAUUGUUAUUUUCAUCUCUUGUACAAGUGUUGAGAAAAAAACCUGUUGUCUGAAGGACGUGAACUUGUGAUCUAAGUUAAGGUCAUCUGGAGGUCAUGACAGUCACUGCGAACUUCUUUGUGGUACUGUCUGUGAUGAAGGUUUGUUGUUUAAAGAUGUAAGACAUUAAGGUGUAAUUUUAGUGACAAGGUGAGCUUUUGUGAUCACCCUUUGUCCAUCGUCAGUCCGUCCGUCAACAAUUUCUUGUCUGCGCGAUAAUGGUUUCAUUUAUGAUUUUAUUUUAACCAAACUUGCACACAACUUUUAUUAUCCCCCGACGAAAGUCGGAGGGAUAUAGUUUUGGCGUUGUCCGUCCGUCCGUCCGUCCGUCCUUCCGUCCGUCUUUCCGUCCGUCCGUCCGUCCUUCCGUCUUUCCGUCCGUCCGUCCGUCCGUCCGUCCGGAGCCAUAUCUAGGAAAUGGUUGGGAAUAUUUAUUUAAAACUUCAUAUACAUGUUCACCACAAUGAGUUCUUGCGGCCCGUCAAGUUUCAGUCAGAUUGCCCAAGUAACACCAGAGUUAUGGCCCUUAGAAGUUUCUAGUGUUAACUAUAUAGGGUACUAUAAAUAUGGCAAUUUCUGCAUCAUAACUUUUGAUAUAUUUGACCUAGAACUAUGAAACUUAAACAGAAUUUAGAUCACCAUAAUGUGGUUGUGUACACACAAUUUCAUUUGGAUUUAUUUGUAAAUUAAGAGUUAUUGCCCUUUAAUUGUAUAAAAAUCCACAUAUUUGUACAUAACAAACUUACCAUUUGGUAGAAUUUCAUUAAAUUUCUUUCAUUCUUUUCCAUGAACAUCUAUUGUAAACAUGUGAAGUUGUGUACCCACACCUGGUCACCCCCUUACCUUGAUCACACACCUCCCCCCCUAUCCCCCGACAC